ensembl:snRNA U6 U6 spliceosomal RNA
GUGUACAUUUUAGCUGCACAUAUACUAAAUAUGGAACAAUACCGAGAUUACCCUGACUACUGCAUAAGGAUGACAUUUGUGAAGCAUUUCUUAUUACAUAAUUUU